rnacentral:rRNA from 1 species
AGGACGAACGCUGGCGGCGUGCCUAACACAUGCAAGUCGAGCGAGGAGAUCCUCGGGAUGAUCCUAGCGACGGACAGGUGAGUAACACGUGGGCAACCUGCCUCAUAGAGAGGAAUAGCCUUCCGAAAGGGAGAUUAAUACCUCAUAACAUUGCAGUUUCGCAUGGAACAGCAAUUAAAGGAGCAAUCCGCUAUGAGAUGGGCCCGCGGCGCAUUAGCUAGUUGGUGAGGUAACGGCUCACCAAGGCGACGAUGCGUAGCCGACCUGAGAGGGUGAUCGGCCACAUUGGGACUGAGACACGGCCCAGACUCCUACGGGAGGCAGCAGUGGGGAAUAUUGCACAAUGGGGGAAACCCUGAUGCAGCCAACGCCGCGUGAGUGAUGACGGCCUUCGGGUUGUAAAGCUCUGUCUUCAGGGACGAUAAUGACGGUACCUGAGGAGGAAGCCACGGCUAACUACGUGCCAGCAGCUGC